rnacentral:tRNA from 1 species
GCAGGUAUAGCUCAAGUGGUAAGAGAGCAUGCUUAGCAAACACAAGGUCCUGGGUUCAACCCCCAGUACCUCCU